UCCUUACAAGAGAAGGAAUUCCGUGG
rnacentral:piRNA from 1 species